UGGCGGACGGGUGAGUAACGCGUGGGUAACCUGCCCUGUACAGGGGGAUAACAAUCAGAAAUGACUGCUAAUACCGCAUAAGACCACAGCACCGCAUGGUGCAGGGGUAAAAACUCCGGUGGUACAGGAUGGACCCGCGUCUGAUUAGCUGGUUGGUGAGGUAACGGCUCACCAAGGCGACGAUCAGUAGCCGGCUUGAGAGAGUGAACGGCCACAUUGGGACUGAGACACGGCCCAAACUCCUACGGGAGGCAGCAUG
rnacentral:rRNA from 1 species